GACGAACGCUGGCGGCGUGCUUAACACAUGCAAGUCGAACGGAAAGGCCUGCUUUCCCUUGUGGAUUGCGGGUACUCGAGUGGCGAACGGGUGAGUAACACGUGAGUGAUCUGCCCUCACCUUGGGUAUAAGCCUGGGAUACUGGGUCUAAUUCCCGAUAGGACUGCAGGGUGGUGCCUGCGGUGGAAAACGAUUUUCUCGUGGUUGGGGUUGAGCUCGGGGCCUAUCAGCGUGUUGGUGGGGUAAAGGCCUACGAAGGCGACGACGGGUAGCUGGUCUGAGGGGUUGAUCAGUCACACGGGAAAUGAGAGAGGGUCAAGACUGUGAAGGGAGGAAGCAGUGGGGAAUAUUGGGGAAUGGGCGAAAGCGGGAUCCAGCAAUGCAGCGGGUGUGAAGAAGGUCUUCGGAGUGGAAAAAACUGUAAGUUGGGAGGAAGGGCAGUAAGUUAAUAAUUUGCUGUUGUGACGUUACCAGCAGAAGAAGCAACGGCUAACUUCGUG
rnacentral:rRNA from 1 species